GUUUUCCAUGGCAGUUCACUUGCCUCCCUUUCGGGCUCAGCUCCGCACCGUGGUGUUUCACAAAAAUGCUGAAACCGGUGGUGGCCCACCUCAGAACUUGAGGGAUCAGAUGUAUCAUUUACCUGGACGACAUACUCCUGUUCUGCAGAACGAGCGACCUGGCCUCACAACAUUCCGACUAUACGGUACAAUUAUUGGAUUCUCUGGGUUUCAUUGUCAAUGGGGCCAAGUCCGCACUGACUCCCACUAGGAAAAUUCAAUUCCUGGGCUUCGAGAUAGACUCCAGGUCUUGCACACUCCACCUCCCGUCUUCCUCCGACAGAAC